CCUACGGGUGGCAGCAGUGAGGAAUAUUGGUCAAUGGGCUUACGCCUGAACCAGCCAAGUCGCGUGAGGGAAGACUGCCCUAUGGGUUGUAAACCUCUUUUGUCAGGGAGCAAUUGGCGCUACGUGUAGCGUUAUCGAGAGUACCUGAAGAAAAAGCAUCGGCUAACUACGUGCCAGCAGCCGCGGUAAUACGUAGGGGGCGAGCGUUAUCCGGAAUUACUGGGUGUAAAGGGAGCGUAGACGGCGGGGUAAGCCUGAAGUGGAAGCCCGCGGCCCAACCGCGGAAGUGCUUUGGAAACUGUUUGGCUGGAGUAUGGGAGGGGUAAGCGGAAUGCCUGGUGUAGCGGUGAAAUGCGUAGAUAUCAGGAGGAACACCGGUGGCGAAGGCGGCUUACGGGGCCAUAACUGACGUUGAGGCUCGAAAGCGUGGGGAGCGAACAGGAUUAGAUACCCUUGUAGUC
rnacentral:rRNA from 1 species